GUGAGCAGGACAUCAGAGCACCUAUUGCCGGAUCAUCAAGUUGAUUGGUUCUUAUUCAAGUUGAGAACGUAAAUCAGGUAAGGUGUUAAACUAUAUAUUUACUUGUAUCACGUGAGUGAAAUGUUUUCCAUCAUCAACAGAGUAUUGUGCAGCCUUAUCAACAGCCAGUGGGUUGGAUUCACAUUCCUCCAGAGAAAGUUGGUAACCUGCAUGUGCUCGGUUCACAGCUUGAUAGAGCAUAUAUGCUGUUUGUGCACUGUCCCUUUAAAGGAAAGGCUCCUAAUGCAAAGAGAGGCAUGCAAAUGACUGUUGGAUUAUUCUGAACCUUUUGGAAGGUGCUGCAGGUGUAUUUUGAAGUUGAAGUAGCAAAUUUGCCAAUGAAGGAUCUUAAUACAGUUAGAAUUAUUUCAUCCGAUGCUGUUGUAUAUCUGAAUAUACAUGGACACAAGGGAUAACAUUCUUACACAAAGGCUGGAACUAUGGACUAAUAUGAUUCAUGGACAAAUAAAGCACUAAGAUAUUUUGCCCAGGAAGAAUCUGGCCAGUGACUACUUGGGAAUGUUGAAAGAGGAGCCGGAAAGGGGUGAUGAUGAGGAGGAUGAUGAGGAGGAUGAUUGUUAGUCACAUGUUUCUGGACUGUGUAUUUUUCUGUUCUGUAACAUUUUUUUGAUAAUUUUUGACUACAGAGUUAUUUUUGUAUUUUUAUUGAGACAAGUCGCCCUUUGCUUCUCCCAGGGGAGAAUAAUCCAUAAUAAAACCAAUUUC